UAAUUACCUCGUAAUACGUAAAAAAAAUAAAAAAUAAAAAACCACUUUUCUCUCUCACAUACAGACAAAGUGGCCAUGACAGUAGUAAUAUAACACCAGUCUCAGGUUUCACAUUUCUCUCCUUCUCCCUGUGUUGCUUUGUUCUCUCUGCACAAUACAAAUUUACCAAUCAGUGGCCUUCACACUCCUGCCAUGGCAUUUUCCACACCCACCUCCCCAACUCAUGUUUUCUGCUUUAAAGGUUCGGCAAAACUAAUGGUGCCUGCUGCAAGGUAUCAAUCCUCGCGCGCAACACAUGAAAAAUUUAUUGUCAUUUGACAGUAAUGAAGUUAUGCAUUAAUAUACCUAAAGUUUGGUAUUGGGAAUGAAGCCAUCGGUCCAGAUAGAGUUUAUUUAUUAUUAUGUAUUUAUAUUGAAAUUUUUGUACAUUAUUGAUGUAGUCUUCUGGAUCAAUGAUUUGUUGUACAUCAAUUUGCUAUAUAAAUAGUGAGUUGUUUACAUGUUUUUAGUUUCAAUGCUUUUUGAAUCACAAAGGUAUAUUGCUACUAGCA